UAACAUAUGGUUGUAAUUAUCGAGUUGUUAACAAUUGAAACAAGUAUAUUUUGCGUAUAAAUCAACUUGUUUGUCCAUUAAAUAUGAUCAUUUUUUCCUAGCGUUUCGCUCUGGCUUUGCACGGAUAGACAAAUUAUUACUUUAUAUUAGCUUUAAUGUAAAACGGCUUCCUUUUCCGUAGGUGUCGUUAAAGGGGCACGACACCAAUUCGCUCCCAGUUGACACUAGUGGAACGAACCAAAUUGAAACUCUUGCGCAUCGAUCUAUUACAAACAGAUACGAUAAUGAACACGCGCAGACUGCGUGGCGAUGUUGUGGGCAGCACGUGUGGGCUUGCUAAAUAAUUACCAGGCGUAUGUAUUCGAGUAAAAAUAAUUUAAUUUUCCACAUGGCCACUCAAUCACUCAAUGUCAAAGUAUGAACCACCAGACUGCUGAAUAUAAUAUGCAGACAUGUUCCACCUAAGUAUAUAAAUAAGUAUAUUAAACGUGUAGAAUUAUAAAUAAAACAUACGGGGGUUAUUUUUAGAAGUUUUGAGAGGUAUUUUCUUUUAUUUGCCCUUGAACUUUACGUGAGUAAUGACGAGGUAUAAACCUGCUACUGGCUACAAGCUGCAAAUGAUUAUAAGCAGAAAUGGUGCGGAUGAAACGAGAAAUUACGAUGAUAGUUAUGAACAAUGCUAUCUCUUAUUAUAAUCUUCAUUUUGAUGGAAAUAACUUGAUCAUAUUUUUUGUCAGAUGAUGCUGUCAAAUUGUGAUUUAUAUAAAUUAGGAUAAUUGGUAUGAUUGACAAGUAAUAGAUGAGACUGAAAAUGGAUAAGCUAGCUGAA